AACGCACCUUGCGCCUUUUGGUAUUCCGAAAGGCAUGCCUGUUUGAGUGUCAUGAAAUCUCAAUCCCCCCGGGUUUAUGAUCUGGGUCGGACUUGGACAUGGGCGUCUGCCGGUCACACGGCUCGCCUCAAAUGACUUAGUGGAUCUCUCUGCAUCCGUGACAGACGUAAUAAGUUUCGUCUUGUCCCUUGCUAAUGAGUCUGCUCAUAACCUGCCAUCGCGCACUUUUAGACUCUGACCUCAAAUCAGGUAGGACUACCCGCUGAACUUAA
rnacentral:misc_RNA from 1 species